AUGGAAGAGUUGCAGUGUCAGAACUUAUCACCAAUUUGGACAACCAAGCCUAUAGUUCCUCCAGGGUUUGCAAACCAAGGAAGACAAGAGAAUGCUAGUGCUAUAGGAACUCCUCUGACUGCAAGGCAGGAAGGACACACUCCUGUUUUCAACAAGUAUUACCAGCAAAAUAGAGAGAGACAACUUUGGCAAGGGUAUUACAAAACGUAUGAACAGGAUAUGCAUGCACAGUUUAUGAAAUCCAUUACUAAAGGACCCAAGUUGGAUUUUCCUAGGUUCAGUGGAGCAGACCCAGUGGGCUGGAUAAGGCAGUGUAACAAAUACUUUCAAAUGUCUGGAGCACCAGAAGAGUAUAAGGUGUCAUUAGCACAGAUGUAUAUACAAGAUGAAGCUGAUACAUGGCUGAGAAGAUUUGGAUUGCUCAAGAAGAAAGUAUCUUGGAAAGAAUUUGGGGCUGAGGUGGUAAAAAGGUUUUCAAAACAAGGAUCAUAUGAUCUAACUGAGAAGUUCAACACACUGAAACAAAACAGUAAUACAGUUUCUAUGUACACAAAGACCUUUGAAGAUCUGAUGGCAGAAGUUCAAGAAGAAAAUCCAGAAUUAAGUGAGUUAUGGUUUGUGAGAUGCUAUGUUAAUGGACUCAGAGAGGGAAUAAAAUUCCAGAUCAGACCACACAAACCUCAAACACUAACUCAUGCUUAUUGUAUGGCAAAAGAGGUGGAACCUUGUCACCCUCCUGUGUUGCCUGCAGCCAAAAAGCAGAAUAUCCCAUACACAAACUAUUUUCAGAAGCAGCAGUACAAUGUUCAGAGUAAAGCCAGUACAAAUUCUCCACAACAACAAGUGGCCCCUAUUAAGCAACCAGAGACCACAAUGGUCAGCAAUCAUAAAUUCAAGAAACCUGGGGAGUGUUGGAUAUGUGGAGACAGGUGGGUCCCUGCCAUAAAUGCAAAUUAA
rnacentral:rRNA from 1 species